CAAUAGCGUAUAUUAAAGUUGUUGCGGUUAAAAAGCUCGUAGUUGGAUUUCUGCCGAGGACGACCGGUCCGCCCUCUGGGUGAGUAUCUGGUUCGACCUGGGCAUCCUCUUGGAGAACGUGGCUGCACUUGAUUGUGUGGUGCGGUAUCCAGGACUUUUACUUUGAGGAAAUAGGAGUGUUCCAAGCAGGCUCUCGUCGUGCACAGCUCAGCAUGGAAUAAUAGCAUUGGACCUCGAUUCUAAGCUGUUGGUUGCCAGAAGCGAGGUAAUGAUGAAGAGGGAUAGUUGGGGGCAUUGCGUAUUUAAUCUAGUCAGAGGUGAAAUUCUUGGAUUUGAUUAAAUGGAUCGGUAACUAGCUGCGAAAGCAUCUAGCCAUGGAUGCUUUUGCAUUUGAUUCAAGAAACAGAAAGUUAAGGGGAUGCGAAGAUGAUUAG
rnacentral:rRNA from 1 species